CUUGGAUGAACUUUCUCCUUGAACUAUAUAUGUGAUGGAAGGAGUUUUCUAAUCACAUAAAUAGAGGAAGAUUUUAAGAGUAAUGAUGGAUUUAAAAGCUACUUUUCAAAGGUUUUAGGAGAAAUCGGAAGCAUAGAAGAGAUCUGGGCUCAUUCAGCUCAAUCACAGACUGGGACACUGGUCUUCUCCUUCCUUUGGACUCAGACUCAGACUUAGACUGGAAUUUACAACAUCAACUCACCUGGGUUUCCAGCUUGCCAACUUCAGAUCUUGGACUUCUC
rnacentral:lncRNA from 10 species